UCCAACCUAUAAUGAUAUUAAAAACCAGUUCAUUUCCUCUCAGCAAACUACUCUACAGGUGCUGCUAUUGGUUCUUUCCCACAGCCAUCAAUGCCAGCCACCUCCAGUUCUGUGGCUAAGGGACUGACUACACUACAGGAUUUCUAUAGUCACUUUGGAGUUGAGUCUUGUGAAAAAAAGGAAUGCAUAUAUCAUUCCCUUUCACCAACCAGGAAAUCACAAAGGAGGAGCCAUCUCAAAGCCAGAGAACACCUCUAGGGUUUCACUGUCUAAUAUGAAAGUGACUGUAUGAGGAUGUCUGCUCUCAAAACCCUGGAUGGUGAGGUAAAAGUGUGGAGGCAAGGAUUAAUGUGACUGAGUCCAUUAAAGAGGGAGCUAAAGCCUGAACUUGCAAAGUGGAGAUAAAGGGAUGCCCAUUAUCAAAGAUCAGAGAUGGAAUCAAAUAGGAUCAAAAUAGGGUUAGGCAAUUAAAUAUGCAUGAGAAGUGAAUGAGAAGCAGCAAAGACAUCACUAAACGUCAGGCUGGGGUAGACAAGAAGAGUGUGGCUAUGCUACCUGAAAAGCCCAAACUGAAAACCCAAGGCAAUAAUAUCACUCCUCUCUCAGUUCCUAGGACCUACAGCCAGGAUGGAUGGAUAGCUGAUAAUGUCAAAAUGUGCACAACUUGUCCCUCCUCUAAGCCUACAGAAGACUUCCUUGUCCAGAGGAUAUGGACAUAAAUAAUGGAGAUGACAGAUAAAACCUUUCAAUUCAGUAGAAAUGAAACAUGCCAAGAACAAAUGUAGUCAAUGUAAAAUAAGUAUGUGGCUCUGGUCGUGGAGCAUCUGAAGAAACUCUUGAAGCCUGGGGCACUUACAUCCAUGCACAGAGAUCUAGGUCAUGCUUUGGAGACAAUUCAGGUAGCCUUCUGGAUAUUUGAGUGUUCUAGGGAAUGGAUGUUUUUCUUGCUUUGAAACCAAAGGCUCCCAUCAUUACCUGCACAUUUGGUCUGUUUCUUUUAGUUGCACCUUCAAAUGACAAGUAAGACAAAGAAGCUGGCUCACUCCCUCCAACAUCAACUUUGAAUAUAUCUCCAGAUUUCGCUGUCACUAUGCCAAUCACAUGGUCUCCUUUCACUGGAACAUACUACAAGAGGAAACAGAAUGAGAAAACAGCCAUAAAUAACAAGAUACCAUUGGAAGGUACCUUCAGCUAGUCCUUUGUGGUUACCUUAUUGUCAUUAAAGAAAGAAAUCUGAUCGUACGCCACUUUCGGUAAAAGAAAAUCACAUAAAGUGUCGGGUUUGCAG